rnacentral:rRNA from 1 species
UACAGGGGGUGCAAACGUUGCUCGGAAUCAUUGGGCGUAAAGCGCACGUAGGCGGUUCGUUAUGUCGGAUGUGAAAUCCCUCAGCUCAACUGAGGAAGUGCGCCCGAAACUGCAGAGCUUGAGUACCGGAGAGGAUGGCGGAAUUCCCCAAGUAGAGGUGAAAUUCGUAGAUAUGGGGAGGAACACCGGUGGCGAAGGCGGCCAUCUGGACGGAUACUGACGCUGAGACGCGAAAGCGUGGGGAGCAAACAGGG